CUGCUGCGCUGCCCUUUUUCCUUAUUCAGGCCUUUGUUGUAUUUUGUUAAGGUUUUUACUAAACCUUUUAAAAUUUUUAAAAGCGAGUGUCUCUCACACCUUCCACGCUGAUCCAGAAAAUGAAAUGAGCUGUCCCUGCAACCAGGCUUUGAUGUGAACAAAAUAAGACUUAAACAUACCUGGAGCUGUGUGGUAGCCAGCCCUGUUUCCUCCUGUCCCAGCUUGCCAAAUGGAGUUUCAGAAUUUACCUUGGACUUGUUCUUUUAUUGCAUCUUGUCAGAGGAUCACUGGAUGGCCACCAGAGCAUCUGCAGCCCAGCUCUGCCUGGAUGCUGUGGCACUGGCCUGCCAGAUCACCACACUGUUACCAUUGUGACUGAGAAGGGAAUUACUGGCAAACCAUUGUUUGAACCCUAUAAAACCUGCUAAAUGAGCUCACUAAGAGACCUUAUACUGCAC
rnacentral:lncRNA from 1 species